rnacentral:rRNA from 1 species
CCUACGGGCGGGCUGCAGUCGAGAAUCUUCCGCAAUGCACGAAAGUGUGACGGAGCGAUGCCGCGUGGUUGAUGAAGCAUUUCGGUGCGUAAAGACCUUUUAUGAGGGAAGAAGUAAUUGACGGUACCUCAUGAAUAAGGGGCUCCUAACUCUGUGCCAGCAGGAGCGGUACUACAGAGGCCCCAAGCGUUACCCGGAAUCACUGGGCGUAAAGUGUGUGCAGGCGGUUAUAUUAGUCGUGUGUUAAAUACCGGAGCCUAACUUCGGAAUCGCAUGCGAUACGGUAUAACUUGAGGAUGCGAGAGGUUUACGGAACUCACAGUGUAGGGAUAAAAUCCGUUGAUAUUGUGGGGAACACCAAAAGCGAAGGCAGUAAACUGGCGCAUUCCUGACGCUCAAACACGAAAGCCAGGGUAGCGAAUG